rnacentral:rRNA from 1 species
UUGCUCUUCAACGAGGAAUACCUAGUAAGCGUGAGUCAUCAGCUCGCGUUGAUUACGUCCCUGCCCUUUGUACACACCGCCCGUCGCUACUACCGAUUGAAUGGCUUAGUGAGGUCUUCGAAUUGGCUUUGGGGAUCCGGCAACGGAACCUUAUUGCUGAGAAGUUGAUCAAACUUGGUCAUUUAGAGGAAGUAAAAGUCGUAACAAGGUUUCCGUAGGUGAACCUGCGGAAGGAUCAUUAAUGGAAUAAACCUGGUGGACUGUCGCUGGCUCUCUUGAGAGCAUGUGCACGUCUGUCAUCUUUAUCUUUCCACCUGUGCACCUUUUGUAGACCUGGAUGCUUAAUAUAUCAAUCUGAGGUCAACUCAGGCGUGAGGACUGUCGGCGUCGCAAGAUAUCGGCUUUCCUUGUAGCAUUCCAGGGACUAUGUUUUUCAUACACACUUUAAAAAUCUAAUAGAAUGUCGUUUUAAAAAGGUCUUUGUACCUAUAUAAAACAAAUAUACAACUUUCAGCAACGGAUCUCUUGGCUCUCGCAUCGAUGAAGAACGCAGCGAAAUGCGAUAAGUAAUGUGAAUUGCAGAAUUCAGUGAAUCAUCGAAUCUUUGAACGCAUCUUGCGCUCCUUGGUAUUCCGAGGAGCAUGCCUGUUUGAGUGUCAUUAAAUUCUCAACCUUGUCAGCUUUUACCGGCUGGUCAAGACUUGGAUGUGGGGGUUUUUUGCAGGUCUUCACAGAUCUGCUCCCCUGAAAUACAUUAGCGGUGCCUCUGUAGUGUGAGCGGCUAUUUGGUGUGAUAAUCUAUCUACGCCAUUAGACGGCCUACAUCUCUUGAAUGAGAAGGAGGGAUUAAUCUGCUUAUAACCGUCCUUCAGGACAUAUAUGACUAUUUGACCUCAAAUCAGGUAGGACUACCCGCUGAACUUAAGCAUAUCAAUAAGCGGAGGA